rnacentral:rRNA from 1 species
UGAGACUCGGCCCAGACUCCUACGGGAGGCAGCAGUGUGGGAAUAUUGGACAAUGGGCGCAAGCCUGAUCCAGCCAUGCCGCGUGUGUGAAGAAGGCCUUAUGGUUGUAAAGCACUUUAAGCGAGGAGGAGGCUACUUUAGUUAAUACCUAGAGAUAGUGGACGUUACUCGCAGAAUAAGCACCGGCUAACUCUUGUGCCAGCAGCCGCGGUAAUACAGAGGGUGCAAGCGUUAAUCGGAUUUACUGGGCGUAAAGCGCGCGUAGGCGGCUAAUUAAGUCAAAUGUGAAAUCCCCGAGCUUAACUUGGGAAUUGCAUUCGAUACUGGUUAGCUAGAGUGUGGGAGAGGAUGGUAGAAUUCCAGGUGUAGCGGUGAAAUGCGUAGAGAUCUGGAGGAAUACCGAUGGCGAAGGCA